UAAUGCUAACUAAAAGGAAAGUUCAGUUUAGGGUUUAAAACCCUAAUGCUGAUUGCAUGGAAAAGCUCAGUUUAGGGUUUAAAACCCUAAUACUGGCUGAAAGGAAAAAGUUCAGUUUAGGGUUUAAAACCCUAAUGCUGACUAAAAGGGAAAUUCAGUUUAGGGUUUAAAACCCUAAUACUGAUUGCAUGGAAAAAGCUCAGUUUAGGGUUUAAAACCCUAAUGCUGGCUGAAAGGAAAAAGUUCAGUUUAGGGUUUAAAACCCUAAUGCUGACUAAAAGGAAAAUUCAGUUUAGGGUUUAAAACCCUAAUGCUGACUAAAAGGAAAAUUCAGUUUAGGGUUUAAAAUCCUAAUGCUGAUUGUAUGGAAAAGCUUAGUUUAGGGGUUUAAAACCCUAAUGCUGGCUGAAAGGAAAAAGUUCAGUUUAGGGUUUAAAACCCUAAUGCUGACUAAAAGGAAAAUUCAGUUUAGGGUUUAAAACCCUAAUGCUGAUAGCAUGGAAAAGCUCAGUUUAGGGUUUAAAACCCUAAUGCUGGCUGAAUGGAAAAGUUCAGUUUAGGGUUUAAAACCCUAAUGCUGACUAAAAGGAAAAGUUCAGUUUAAGGUUUAAAACCCUAAUGCUGACUAAAAGGAAAAGUUCAGUUUAAGGUUUAAAACCUUAAUGCUGACUAAAAGGAAAAUUCAGUUUAGGGUUUAAAACCCUAAUGUUGAUUGCAUGGAAAAGCUCAGUUUAGGGUUUAAAACCCUAGUGCUGGCUGAAUGAAAAAAGUUCAGUUUAGGGUUUAAAACCCUAAUGCUGACUAAAAGGAAAGUUCAGUUUAGGGUUUAAAACCCUAAUGCUGAUUGCAUGGAAAAGCUCAGUUUAGGGUUUAAAACCAUAGUGCUGGCUGAAUGAAAAAAGUUCAGUUUAGGGUUUAAAACCCUAAUGCUGACUAAAAGGAAAAUUCAGUUCAGGGUUUAAAACCCUAAUGCU
rnacentral:lncRNA from 1 species